GCGCCCGUAGCUCAACGGAUAGAGCAUCUGACUACGGAUCAGAAGGUUGGGGGUUCGAUUCCCUUCGGGCGCGC
rnacentral:tRNA from 1 species